CUGACUACUAUAAACAAGACCGGAGCGCUGGAAAAAUUUCUUUUUACUGAAUCUAUCUUACAGUUGAGGAGACGAAAACGUCUCCAAGUUCACUUCAGAUCAAAGAAGAGAUGUUUAAAACAGAAAGAAGAACGUGCGGAAAUAAGGAAAGGAACAUUGUUGGUUCAGUUUCAACCCGAAUGUCUCCAAAACAGCAGCUAAAUCAACCACUGAUGCGUGAAGGGACCAUAAUCCAAGAACAGUACCAUCAGGAAGCAGCAUCAAUCUCCCAGGUGAUAAAAAUGGAGACACUGACGUUACAGAGGAUCAAAAUAGAAGGAGGAAAUGCCAGAAUCAGGACUAAAUCCCAAAAUCUUCGUUUUGAAUGUUUUCUUUAUAAUUACACUUAAGUAUUUCUUUUUACACUGUUGAAACAUUUUCAUUGACCAUAAUUUUUAGCGUUGUCUUACGACAGUAAUGCCUAAAUAUAAAUCUACACUCCAGUAGAAUUUCCAUUUCCUCCAAAAUGGAACCCGACACCUAUUAACAAUUAUGUAGCAUCCAUGACUUGCCCAGAUCAAUCCUUCUGUCACCCUGGAUGGAAUUCAAUUCAUAGGAAGAGUCUGCACACCCUCACUCUAAAAUCACUUUCCAUUUUUGUCCCCACUGACACCCUUGAGAGCUACCAGCAGAAGGUUUUGAAUGAACCAUGAAUUGAUAUUGUAAGCUGCUGGGACGCGAGGGAAAAACGCUUCAGAAGAAACCAGCUCUGAGCAGAAUUGUGAAGUGUGGUGUUUCUUAUUAUCGCCAUCAACUCUGUCUCUCUUUUCUGGUUUGUUUUGUUGGGUUUGGCUCAAUUACCAGUCAAUUUGUUGGGGUUUUUAAACCAAAACAUUGCUAAUGCCAACGAGAAGACAAAACAGAACAAAACAAAAACACCUGCAAACAGGAUGAGCUUUAUCACCGAGCCAUUGCCGCAUGGAAUUUUUACUCCAGUCUCCCCUCCAAGAGGUUUGUUCAUCCUCCAGCUUUGCUCCUGAAUUUUAACCAUACCGCCGAAGAUAGCAAGAAAGAAUCAAAAGGUCAUACACUCCCCAACACAGGUGGCUUUGAUGGAUUUCUGGUCUCGGCGGAAAUGGGUCUCUAAUCUACAUACAUGUAACACUUUUGACUUUAUGGUCAAGCUUUUAACUUACACACGAAACACAAAUUACGGAUGAUGCAUUUGUUAAAAUAAAAU
rnacentral:lncRNA from 1 species